rnacentral:tRNA from 1 species
ACCUGAGUGGCUCAGUCGGUUGAGCGUCUGACUUCAGCUCAGGUCAUGAUCUCACGGUCUGUGAGUUCGAGCCCCGUGUCAGGCU